AACUAAAUAACUUAAUUAUUAUUGAAAGGGAAAACUAGGGUUUUCUAUUGCCACGUUCCAUCUUCUCAUGUUCAGACUCUCCCCUAACCUCUCUUCGCGAACGGCGCCUCCGGCGACCGACCUCUCUGUAAACUACCGUUCCGUCUCGAAUCAACGAGUUCUAAACACGAACUCCCCCUAAAAUCACGCCCUAAACCUGAAUUUCCCAUCAAUUUAACAAGAGGAAUGCGCAAAUAUUCAGAUCGAAGAAGGGAAAGAGCGAACCCUAGGUUCUGGAAUCGGAGAUUAGAGAAGUAACAUCUAAAUAUUCGCGCAAUUAGGAGAAGAAUUGGAUCGACAACAAUGUUUAUAACAAGAUAUCACUCCAAUUGGAAGAUGAGGAAGAUUGGACGUACCUGGGUUGAAGAAAGCGUGUGAGAUGAAGAUACCAGAGGUGAAGCUCCAGCUAGCUUGGCGAAAUAAACGCGAGUUCUUCAGGGCAGGCCUUGUAGUGACGUAUUCGAAAUGAUUCAGCCAACAAUAGUGGAACAAGAAAUGUGACACCUUUAUAAAUUUUUUAACAACAGGUGAGCAGGUAGCAGCAAGUCUCUGUAGGAGCUGACUUUUUGUGAUGCAGGGUUACAUAUUGUCUUGGUUGAAUGGCUUGAAGCUUUGAAGCAAACACACCAUUGAUGGAAGCUUAAGAUUAGAACAGUAGGCUAAGAGCAAAUUUUGUGUAGUUUGUCUUGAUGUAAUAUGCUUGAUUUUGUCAUGAGAUGGAUAUGUAAUGAAAAUGUUCCUUGGAUGUAUUGAAUUGUGAUUCAUAGAUGGUCCUUGUGAAGAUUUGGAAAUGUAAUGAUUCUUGGAUCUUUAUAAUGGAAUUUGACUUUUUGCAAUGAACAAAGACUUUGAUGAUGAACUUUGAAUGAUGUAUAACCUUGAGUCUUAUUCUUUGUAUGCUAAGAAAAUCAUAAGAAUACAUCAUUAACCUUAUUAUGCUCCAGCAAUUUUGAUCCAAUUUUAAUCAACAGGAGACUUAUGAAAAUCUCUUGAAUAAAUACUCCCCUUACCAAAGUAGAAUAUCCCUUGAGAUUAAACUCUGCCCAUAAUCUUCACAAGCCUAACCAUGAAUGAGGAACCCUUAAUUUUUGGUUAUGCACACUUAAUAUACCUUCGAAACAAAAUUCUAAUCCACACGAACAAGAACCUUAAUCCAACGCAUAUGAAAUGUAUCUCAUCAUGAAUCAAAGGAGACUCUCAUCCUUGAAUUUGAGCGCCUCAGGAUGACGGAGGGACUACACCCUAGUGCGAACGAACUCAGUCAUAAACUUACCUUCACCCUUGAUGAGUUUGGAUGAAGGACAACCCCUUUGUAGCCCAAG